CCUACGGGAGGCAGCAGUGAGGAAUAUUGGUCAAUGGACGAGAGUCUGAACCAGCCAAGUAGCGUGAAGGAUGACGGCCCUAUGGGUUGUAAACUUCUUUUAUAUGGGAAUAAAAUGUUCCACGUGUGGGAUUUUGUAUGUACAAUAUGAAUAAGGAACGGCUAAAUCCGUGCCAGCAGCCGCGGUAAUACGGAGGAACCGAGCGGUAUCCGGAUUGAUUGGGUUUAAAGGGAGCGUAGGUGGAUUGUUAAGUCAGUUGUGAAAGUUUGCGGCUCAACCGUAAAAUUGCAGUUGAAACUGGCAGUCUUGAGUACAGUAGAGGUGAGCGGAAUUCGUGGUGUCGCGGUGAAAUGCUUAGAUAUCACGAAGAACUCCGAUUGCGAAGGCAGUUCACUGGACUGCAACUGACACUGAGGCUCGAAAGUGUGGGUAUCAAACAGGAUUGGAUACCCUUGUAGUC
rnacentral:rRNA from 1 species